rnacentral:ncRNA from 1 species
ACUUUUGUGGAAACAUUUGGUUUUUAUUCAUUGUCAUCUUAAUGAAUAAAAUAAAAGGGAAUGCCGUGAAAAUCGGCAACAGUUCCCGCUGCUGUAAGCUCUUUUCUUAGGUGCUGAACAACUCCCUAUCGCCACUGCUCCCGAAAAACCGGAGUGGGAAGGCAUUUCAGCACGAGAGUAAGUCAGAAGACCUGCCAAAUGUUAAUACUUUUU